rnacentral:rRNA from 1 species
CAGCCGCCGCGGGAAUACGUAGGGCGCAAGCGUUGUCCGGAAUUAUUGGGCGUAAAGAGCUCGUAGGCGGUCUGUCGCGUCUGGUGUGAAAUCCCUAGGCUCAACCUCGGGCUUGCAUCGGGUACGGGCAGACUAGAGUGCGGUAGAGGAGACUGGAAUUCCUGGUGUAGCGGUGGAAUGCGCAGAUAUCAGGAGGAACACCGAUGGCGAAGGCAGGUCUCUGGGCCGCAACUGACGCUGAGGAGCGAAAGCAUGGGGAGCGAACAGGAUUAGAUACCCCUGUAGUCCCUGUCUCUUAUAC